UCUCCGUAGGUGAACCUGCGGAGGGAUCAUUACUGAGUGAGGGCUCACGCCCGACCUCCAACCCUUUGUGAACCAAACUUGUUGCUUCGGGGGCGACCCUGCCGCUUCGGCGGUGCGGCGCCCCCGGAGGCUCAUCAAACACUGCAUCUCUGCGUCGGAGUCUUAAUGAAUUUAAACAAAACUUUUAACAACGGAUCUCUUGGUUCGGGCAUCGAUGAAGAACGCAGC
rnacentral:misc_RNA from 1 species